rnacentral:lncRNA from 1 species
AGUCUCUUCCUGGCUGCCGGCAGAACACAGGCUGCUCCUUGCUGCCCCUGGGUUGUGUUACCUUUGGAUCAAAAUGUAGAACUCUCAGCUCCUCCAGCGCCAUGUCUGUCUGCAGGCUGCCGUGCUUCCUGCCAUGAUGAUAAUGGACUGAACCUCUGAAACUAUGGGACUCUGGACUAAGCAGUCACCUCAGAAAGGGGUGAAAAUCGAGGCAAGUGUCUCCUCUGACUUCAUUCUCCUUCUUCCACCGUGGAUUGAGAUGGAAGUCUGGCUGGCUGCCUUCUACCCUGCAGAGGACCAAUGUGAACUAGCCUAAGAGAGGUCCUGACGUGAGGCCUUCUGCCUGGAGGUGGUUUGGAACCUAGCAGAACUGUCUGUCUGUCUUCUGAGAGGCUUCACCCAGCAACUGAUGGAAAAUGAUGCAGAGAUUCACAGCCAAACAUCAAGUGGAUCUCAGGGAAUCAGGUAGAAGAGGGGAAAGAAGGUUUGGAGGAGCCAGAGAGGUCAGAAGGAUUGGAGGAUCCAGAAGGGUCAAGGACACCACGAGAAAAAUCUAUGGAAUAGACUAACCUGAACCAUAGGAGUUCACAGAGACUGAACUGCCAAGCAAAGAGCAUGUGUAGGAUGGACCUAGGCCCUCUACACAUAUAUGACAGAUGCUCAGCUUGGUCUUCAUGCUGGACUCUUAGCAACUGGAGCAGGGGCUGGCUCGAUCUAUGUUGCCUGCUUUUGGACCUGUUUCCCCUAACUGGGCGGCUGCUUUGUCUAAACUCAUAGGGGAAGAUGUGCUUAAUCCUACUGCAAAUUGAUAUGCCCGGGUGGGUUGAUAUAUCCAUGAGAAGCCCCCCUUUCUCUGAGGAGAAAGGAAGAGGGGACAUAAGGGGGGGGAAGGGGGAGGAGAGGGGUGCUAAGGGGGAGAAGAGAAGAGGGGGAAGCUGUGAUGGAGAUGUAAAUAAAUAAAUCAAAUAUAUAUACAUAUAUAUAUAAUCAAAUAUAUAUACAUAUAUAUGUAUAUAUAUGUGUAUGUAUAUAUAUAUAUCCAUUCAUACAUGUAUGCAACAGCAAUUAGUGAGAAGAGAGGCUAUGGAUUUAAAAACGAGCAAGAAGAAGGGCUAUAUGAGAAGGUUGGGGGAAAGAAAGGGAAGAAUGAAAUUAUGUAAAUAAAAACAAAAAAGUUAUUCUGGGAAAGGACACGGAUGGCUCCUCCUUGGGGCAGGAGGCAGGGACAGAUGGGCUGACAGGAAGCAGAAAGGGCAGAGACUUGAAGCCUGUGCCUAAGUUCUGUUUCCGCCACCCACUUGAGGACACUGUCUGGUCCCACAGAGCACCCUUUUCCUCUUCUUUUUUUAAAAAAGAUGUAUUUUACUUUAAAUUA